GGGCGAUUAGCUCAGUUGGUUAGAGCGUCCGAUUGACGUUCGGAAGGUCGCAGAUUCGAAUUCUGCAUCGCCCA
rnacentral:tRNA from 1 species